rnacentral:rRNA from 1 species
AGAAUGAACGUUGGCGGCGUGGAUUAGGCAUGCAAGUCGUACGGGCCGCAAGGCCAGUGGCGCAAGGGUGAGUAAGGCGACGGUAACCAACCCCAUGACUGGGUAUAGCCGCGGGAAACUGCGGGUAAUCCCCAGCGACGUCCGGGGGGGGCAUCCCCCCGGGACCAAAGCUCCGGCGUCGUGGGACGGGCCGUCGUGGUAUUAGGUCGUUGGCGGGGUAACGGCCCACCAAGCCUGCGAUGCCUACCGGGCGUGCGAGCGUGGCCCGGCACACUGGGACUGAGACACUGCCCAGACUCCUACGGGAGGCUGCAGUCGAGAAUCUUCGGCAAUGGGCGCAAGCCUGACCGAGCGACGCCGCGUGGAGGACGAAGGCCUUCGGGUUGUAAACUCCUGUCGAGGGGGAAGAAGGCCCGUGAGGGGCUUGACUGAUCCCUGGAGGAAGCACGGGCUAAGUUCGUGCCAGCAGCCGC